rnacentral:lncRNA from 1 species
CACAGCACCUGCAGCUCCUCUCCAUUCAGGAGGUGAGAAAUUCGUGGAGGCCAAGGCCUGGAGGGGGAUCCCAUACAGCUGCAUUUCACCAGGAAAAGCUUGCACAGCUAAAAACUGUCAUCAUGGUGUCUCAGAGAAGGGAGCAGCUUCCUGGUGAGCAUUUGUUAACAUUGAAGCAUGAGUGUUGGUGAAUAACUGCAAAGAGGACUUCUCAGAGUG